rnacentral:rRNA from 1 species
CCCUUAGAUGUUCUGGGCCGCGCGCGUGCUACACUGAGUGGAUCAGCGGGUCAGGUUGCGCGAAAGUGUUUCCUAAUCUUGAAAUCCGCUCGUGAUGGGGAUUGACGGUUGCAAUUUUCCGUCAUGAACGAGGAAUACCUUGUAAGCGCGGGUCAUCAUCCCGCGCUGAAUACGUCCCUGCCCUUUGUACACACCGCCCGUCGCUCCUACCGAUUGAGUGGUCCGGUGAGGCUUUGGGAUCUGAGCAAAGAGAGCGUUUCGCUCGUUUUGCCCGGAAAACUCAGUCGAACCUUAUCAUUUAGAGGAAGGAGAAGUCGUAACA